GGUUCCAUAGUGUAGUGGUUAGCAUGUCUGCUUUACAUGCAUAAAGUCCUGGGUUCAUGCCCCAGUGGAGCCA
rnacentral:tRNA from 1 species